rnacentral:rRNA from 1 species
AUUGAACGCUGGCGGCAGGCUUAACACAUGCAAGUCGGGCGAGCGGCGGACGGGUGAGUAAUGUAUGGGGAUCUGCCUGAUGGAGGGGGAUAACUACUGGAAACGGUAGCUAAUACCGCAUACCAUAAGAUGAUCCCAUAUGGGAUUAGCUUGUAGGUGAGGUAACGGCUCACCUGGGCGACGAUCCCUAGCUGGUCUGAGAGGAUGAUCAGCCAGGCUGGGACGGAGACACGGCCAAGAAUCCUACGGGAGGCAGGCAUAGGGAAGUGUCGGCAAUGGACGAAAGUCAGACCGAGCGACGCCGCGGGUGUGAAGAAGGUUUACGGAUUGUAAGGCUCUGUUGUUAGAGAAGCGGUAUCUAAAGAGGAAGCCACGGCUAACUGCGUGCCAGCAGCCGCGGUAAUAG